CUGGAGCUUCAGUUUCCUGGAACAGAGGGCUGCACCCCUCGUCUGGGCCCCCAGAGGCCCCGAGCAGAGCAGAGGAGCUGGCGGUGGAGCAGAUCAAGUCCUGGGCACAGCAGCUCCAGCUCACUCGCCGGGCUUCUGCAGGCCCGGGGCGUGGAGCCAGCAGGCUGGAGCCAGGCGGCCUCCCGGGCCUCCUCACAGCCGCUUUUGAUAAAGCCCCUCUGUGCACAGGGUGGGGGGGCCCGGCCGGCUGGAGCCAGCUCACAUCUGGAGGCCAGCACAGGCCUGGGGCAGCCGGCGCGGCUGACAGCGGCGCCACCCCGAGCCACACGCCCGGCACUGGGUAAACAGCCCCGCGCCCACCCAGCAGCUCACCUUUCGCCCACAAGGCUGCCUUUCUUCUCGGACCCAGGACGAGGCCACCACGAACAUUCCUCCCGGCACAGGGCAGAACGGGCCGCUGACCUCGAGGCUGGGCCGAAAUCUGAAUCCAGGAGGCUCAGCGAGGACAGCCUCGGGAGUGAGAGAGAUACACUUUAUACAAGAGGAAACCCUGGGGCGCUGACCCUGCCCUCCCAUCCCGGAAGGGUCUCUGAGGAAGUGACGCCCUGAACACAGAGCCGGAUCCGUGGCGACCGCGAAGGAUCUUCCCUUCCCGGCAGAGGCAUCAGCCAUGCAAAGGCAGGAAGCCUGCCACACCCCUAGGAAGCUGGAGGCUUUGCACGGGAUGCCCCGCUCUGGCCUGGCUUUCUCCUUUUGUGGGGAGGGAACAGUCCCCCGCCCACCCCCACAAGCAGGGAUACUGUUCCUGGUGGUGGGUCAGGCCUCUGUGGACCCCCUCAAGUCCUGGAAGAUGACCGUGUCUGCGGGCUUGGGGAGACGGAGAUGAGAGUGUAGACUGAACAGCUCUCCAGCUCCAGACUUUGAGGCAGGAUCCUGAGGUACUCAGAAGGAAAUGACAAGCAGCCUCAUUUACAAUUGAAGGAAACUGAGGUACAACAACAAAAUAAUAAAAUCUAAUGCUUACUGAGCUCUUACUCCAAGCCAGGCACAGUGCUAAGCCCUUUGACCCAGGUUCUUUCAUUUAAUCCUCCCAACGAUUAUCACUGUCGGAAGAUAAUACCAUGACCCCUAUUUUACAAGUGUGGAAAUGAAGACUCAGGAGGUAAGUCAAGACCAUGCCUCCUGUUAAUGGAGGAUCUGGGAUGAGCAUGCAGAUCUGGCUUCAGAACCCAGAAUCAUAAACCUGGCACUUCCUGAGGGGAGGUGGGGGUAGGCGGGAAGGGAUGGGGGACACCUGGGAGAGACAGAUGAUAAGCCCUUGUCUGGGGGCUAAGGGCAGUGGAAUAAAUAAUUGCAAGAGUGAGGGACCCAGGGUCAGUUCCAUGUUCUUCCUACCCUGGAUGGCCCAGGGCAGUUUGGAGAACCCCAAUUCUAGCCCACCCCAGCAACCUAGAAUUUACUCUGCUUCGUUCAUUCAUUUAUUCAUUCAGUCAACAGAAAACAAAAUACAGGAUGACACAGAUCAAAUAUGUCCCUGUAAACAAUAAAUGUAAAUGGGUUGAAUGGAUCUAUUAAAAAACAAAGACUUAUAUUAGAUCAAAAAUCAAAAUCUAUUCAUUUAUUCAUGGGCCAAAUAUUUAUUAAAUGCCUAAAAGAUUCAAGGUCCUGUUUUAGAUUCUAAUGAUAGAAUGUAAAAAUAAAAUGUCUGUUAAAGAAGGAAAAACGCUGGGAAAAGGAGAUCCAGGGAGAGAGAUCUGAAGGUGCAAAAACUGUGAGGCUGCAAUGAGUUGGAGGAUGGAGGAGCCAAAAAGGGGCCGGUGUGGUUGGAGAAGAGCACUAGUGAGCAAGCGUCAGGGGGUGAGGCAGGCAAGGACUGCCAGGUCAGGUCUGGAGAGCAGAGGCAGCCCCAAGGGGGGCCGAGAUGCAGAGGAGCUGGAUCCUGCUUACCUAGGUAAGGUACCUGGAACUCUUGACCCUUCCCCCACUAAAUGCAGCCAAGAUGACCUCGCCAAGCCUCCUCCCAGGGAAGAAGACUUACCAUGAAUUGAAGGCCUACUGGGUGCCAGGCUCUGCCAUGGGUGGUUUACGUGCUUAAUUAGCUCAUUAAGUCCUGCCAUCAGGUUAGUUUUCUCCCAUUCUGCAGAAGAAAAAACUAAGCCUCAGAGAGGUAGAGUGACCUGCCUGAAGCCACACAGCCAGACAAUGACAGGCCUGAAGUUUGAACUUGGAGUAUCCAACACUAUGGUGUGCCUUCUUGGCACUGCAUAGCUGCCUCCCAGGAAAUGGCAGUGGAGAGGUCUCAGCUGGCUGUGUCCUCACAUGGGUCCCCUGACCUCUAUGACUUCAAUUCUCCAUCUGGGAACUCACACGCCAGGUCAGUGUUGAGACCUGGAUGACUCCCUCCCUCUGGGACAUGGAGUUCCAAUGUGCUGAGCUGGCGCUUCUGAUUCCACCCCCACAAUGACUCCAUUUGACAGAGGAGGAAACUGAGGCUCAGAGGGGGAAGUGAUUCUGCAGGGUCACGGCCUUGGGACUCCCGAGGGCCUGGGACUUUUGCUGAGUCUGUUCAUUGGAUGAUAAGAAUGAGAACCCCUCAAGGAUGCAGAGACUUUGGGAUGGGGUGGAGGGACAGGAACAAGGACACACAGGCAAUAAGGGAGAGCAGGCCUGGAACCCAGGACACCAGCUCCCAGCCUCUGCCCCUCACUGCAUCCUGGGGAAGGCGGAGGCCUGGCCCCUGGGUCCGGAUUAUUUCCUGAGAAUGGGGAGGGGCCACGGGAAGUCUCCCCACAUCACCCCACUCAGGUCCUGCCCAAACAGGAAAUGCCAGGCAGUCCCCCCACCCACACUCCAGGGCCGUGGGAAAGCUUUGCCUGGGAUCCAGUGCUUCCUUCCAGCUCUGGCCCAGCCUCACUGGGGAUCUAGACCCUAACAGGGCCUGCGUGACCUUGGACAAGGUCCUUCCCCUCUCGGGGCCUCAGUCUCCCGCUCUGUAGUCACAGAACUCUGCCACCUCCCGGCUGUAUGACCUCAGGCUGUGCCCUUCCGAAGCUUAACUCCCUCUUCUGUAAAGUAGGGGGCAGUACACACAGAGUGUGCUCCACCUACGGAGCCAUUAUCACCCCAGGCAAGGGUGUGACAGGGGAAGCCUUUGGAAAGAUCCCUAUGGCCCUCUGGGAAAGACGAGGAGCUUCCUUGGACUCAGGACCACACCAGGUACCUCUCUGCACCUCACUUUGCCAGUUUGUAAAAGAGGCAGAGCCAUGGC